GGCAUGGUGGCUCAGUGGUUAGAGUGCCCGCCUCGUGAACGGGCGGUUGUGGGUUCGAACCCCGGCCGAGUCA
rfam:Strongylocentrotus purpuratus Contig34601_fixed, whole genome shotgun sequence.